rnacentral:rRNA from 1 species
GACGAACGCUGGCGGCGUGCUUAACACAUGCAAGUCGAACGGAAAGGCCCAGCUUGCUGGGUACUCGAGUGGCGAACGGGUGAGUAACACGUGGGUGAUCUGCCCUGCACUCUGGGAUAAGCCUGGGAGACUGGGUCUAAUACCGGAUAUGACCGACUGUCGCAUGGUGGUUGGUGGAAAGCUUUUGCGGUGUGGGAUGGGCCCGCGGCCUAUCAGCUUGUUGGUGGGGUAAUGGCCUACCAAGGCGACGACGGGUAGCCGACCUGAGAGGGUGAUCGGCCACACUGGGACUGAGACACGGCCCAGACUCCUACGGGAGGCAGCAGUGGGGAAUAUUGCACAAUGGGCGCAAGCCUGAUGCAGCGACGCCGCGUGAGGGAUGACGGCCUUCGGGUUGUAAACCUCUUUCACCAGGGACGAAGCGUGAGUGACGGUACCUGGAGAAGAAGCACCGGCCAACUACGUG